rnacentral:rRNA from 14 species
AAUGGUCAAACUACCCUGAACAUACAUGAUCUCACACAGUCUCGGAAGCAAAGCGGAGUUAGGCUUGGUUAGUUCUGAAUGGCAGAAAAAGAAACCUCAAGAUGUGCCAUGC